rnacentral:rRNA from 1 species
GACGUAGGGCGCGAGCGUUGUCCGGAUUUAUUGGGCGUAAAGAGCUCGUAGGCGGUUUGUCGCGUCGUUCGUGAAAACUCACAGCUUAACUGUGAGCUUGCGGUCGAUACGGGCAGGCUAGAGUUCGGUAGGGGAGACUGGAAUUCCUGGUGUAGCGGUGAAAUGCGCAGAUAUCAGGAAGAACACCCGUGGCGAAGGCGGCUCUCUGGAACGCAACUGACGCUGAGACGCGAAAGCGUGGGGAGCAAACAGG